UACAGAGGUCCCAAGCGUUGUUCGGAUUCACUGGGCGUAAAGGGUGCGUAGGUGGUUGGGCAAGUCUGAUGUGAAAUCUCCGGGCUUAACCCGGAAAUGGCAUUGGAAACUGCCCGGCUAGAGUGUUGGAGGGGGGACUGGAAUUCUCGGUGUAGCAGUGAAAUGCGUAGAGAUCCGGAAGAACACCGGUGGCGAAGGCGGCCUGCUGGGCGGCGACUGACGCUGAGGCGCGACAGCGUGGGGAGCAAACAGG
rnacentral:rRNA from 1 species